UUUACAGCAGGUUUGCAGGGGGUGGUACAGGUUGUAAUGAUUGGGGCUUUCAUUGGUCUUGCUGGUGAAGCCACAGGGUGUGUGAGAGAAUGUAGGAUGAGGACUGGUUGUUGAUGUGUGCUGUUAAGAGCCAAAAUGCUCAAGAGCAGAGGUAAUGGGGACCUGAUGGCUAGAGCAGUAAAUCAUUGACUAAGGAAACAGAGCUCAGAGCCAUUCUGGCGUCCCACACCCAGGAAACCCGCGGUUACUGCGCCGUGUGAAGUCCCCGUGUUCUGCCCUGAGUUCUGCUUGAAGUGGACAAAUGCAGGGGGUUACGACUUGGAACAAGACACACCUUUCAUCUUUUAUUGUGCUGACAAUACCACGAAGAAGAUGGUUGGAUUUAUCCUGGAAGCUGAACAAGAACUCCUGGUGCCCCGUCAUCUUGGUCUGCGCCCCAAAUGUCUGAGAUGAGGAGCAGCACCGUGUGAUGGGAGGCGGCGGUGCAGGAACCCGGCUGGGGGGCAGCCAAGGGAGCCCCGCAGUGGGACUGCAGCCUGGGGUGCCUCUCUUUCCUUUGUUUCUUACAAACCCCGCCUGUGAGACAUUGCACGAGGCGUGCAACGGAACAAAGCAAGCUGAGAGCACAAAGCAGCGCACGCCUGUCUGCAGUGAGCUGCCGUCCCUCCUUCCUGCCGGCUCGGGGCAGUGCUGGUGAGCAGUGCUGGAGCUCACAGCCGUACAGCCGAGAUGGGGUGACGGUGAGACAGUGCUACAACAAAACAUUGCACGUUUCCAAAGAUGAGAAAAUUGUUCCAGGAGACGGAGCGUGAGGGUGGAGAGCAUGGGAGGCCGCUGCCGUGCAGUGAUCCAUGAGUCCCACGCAGGACUGCAGGCAGCGGCUCUCACUGCUGCUUUUCCAUCUUGGUUGGUUGGGUUUGGGUUGUUUUGUUUUUGCAGGGUCCUUCCUUCCGGUCAGAUGUUUGCAGAGAUAAGGAAGGAGCUGUAUGCCAUCAGGUGACAGUUGCUGGGUCCCCUUCCCAGUCGCUCCGAUGCUAUUUCACCUCCCGGUCCUUGAGGCUCAGAGGCAGAAUGUGAGCGUGAGAAGUGGAGUCCAUCAGCAGCAGCUGUUAUGCCUCAAUGAUGUUCACUGAGGGUUUGUUUUUUGGGAACUGGGAGAGAGGAGACAAAGGAAGAGAAGGUGUAUAGAAAUAGCUGGGGAGGAAAAAAAUACCCACGUUGGGUCCGUGCAGUGUGUGUGAGUUCUUACUGUGUAAAAGUGCUCGCUCCCAUCCCCUGUUGGAUGUGAAGGUGUUGGCUUGACUUGUGGUGGUCUGCUUGUAGAUGUGUGUGCAUUAAUGAGCCAUCUCCAGUUAUAAGGAAAUGCAGUGCAGUGGGUGCUGGUGUCUGCAGUGUGGGGGAUGCUCAGGCUGCUAAUGGUGCUGCAGCGUUGGCAUGCAUGGAAGCGAAGGGGCCUUGCCUUCCUGCAUCCCGGCUGGUGGUGGGGAGCUGCUGGGAGCUCCUGCCUGCUGCCCUCCGGCACUCACCUUGCUGCGGAGCAGCCCCCCGCCCUGGUGCUCAGGGGUGCUGUUCUCCGAGGCGCUCUUGGCUUUCUCCUUGCUGUUGUUGGGCUCGUUGUCUUUGAUGAUGUCGUACUGCCUGCAGAACAGGGCGAUCACCCCUGGUGGGGAGAAAGCAUUAAUGAGCACCCAGGAGCUGAGUCUG